CCAGUUACCCGGUCUGGCCCUCCUCGAUCGAGUUUGGAGGCAAGACGUGCGUGGCUGCAU
rnacentral:pre_miRNA from 1 species